GACUAGGCCCAUUUUGACUAACCGAUCCACAAUUUUAUUUCAACCCACUUUCUGCGGGCCACUUUACCAGUUGAUACAAAACUGUGAGAAGUUUUUCGACGAACAAAGAAAAAAAAUGGAAAUUACGUGUUAAUAUUGUAGAAUAAAUUUUAUUUGCGAUAUCAGACUCUUACAAACAUACAACAAUGUUGGGCCAAUGAUGUUCCAACAUUCUAAAGUAUUACCCAGCUAUGAAACCAUUCAUGUGUCGCAAAGAGAACAUUGAUAGUGGGCAGCAAAACGUAUUAAGAGUUACCUCCCUUGAUAAUGCGAAGGAGCCGUCUGGCAUAAGGGCUAUUCACUGUACAUCAAUAAAGGAGGUUCCAGCCUGCGUCCCUGAGACAAGGGCAGAUCCGGACUAUCGUGAAGUUCUCACUCUACGCCCAUUGAAAAUAAAUCCCUUCUGACCCAA